rnacentral:rRNA from 1 species
GACAAACGCUGGCGGCAUGCCUAACACAUGCAAGUCGAACGGACAGAACAGGGAAGCUUUUCGGAGUGGAACUGGAAAGUUAGUGGCGGAAGGGUGAGUAACGCGUGGACAACCUACCUUGUAAAGGGGAAUAACCUCGAGAAAUCGAAGCUAAUACCCCAUAAUAACCUUGCUUCGCAUGAAGUAAGGAGUAAAGGCGGCCUUAGCGCUGUCGAUACAAGCUUGGUCCGCGUCUGAUUAGCUAGUUGGUGAGGUAAAGGCUCACCAAGGCGACGAUCAGUAGCCGGCCUGAGAGGGUGAUCGGCCACAUUGGGACUGAGACACGGCCCAGACUCCUACGGGAGGCAGCAGUGGGGAAUCUUCCGCAAUGGGCGAAAGCCUGACGGAGCAAUGCCGCGUGAGUGAUGAAGGCCUUCGGAUUGUAAAACUCUGUUCUUAGCGAAGAGAGAGUGUUGUAGUAAUUAACAAUACUAGGACGGUAGAUGAUGAGGAAGCCACGGCUAACUAUGUG